UGUCAUGAGGAAUAAAACAAAAACUGACUUUUGAAAGACCUCCCGGAGAGCAAGAGGGAAAAACAGACAGCAAACCAACCUCUCUAUUUCAAAAUCUUCUCAAGACUUUUGUGGUCACCCUGCUGUUCCACAGAAGCAAAGCCCUGAACAACCCUCGGAGACUUCCACUUCUCAGGUUCUCCUGUCCCUGGGAACCAUCGGAGCUUGUCUUGGUUCUCCUCCUAGAUGCCGUUGGCUUUCCUCAAGUUUGUCUUGGUUGUCUGUCUUCAUGGAACAAAAUCAGACUGACUGAUCUGAGGAGUGUGCCGUGGGUUCCUCUGCAUGUGUGUAGCCUUUUAAUC
rnacentral:lncRNA from 1 species